CUCUCAGUCUCACUAAGAAGUAAGAACACGCGUUCUUUUUCUCCUCACCAUCACCAUGACUCACUCCCAGUGACACUCAUCCCUCACUCCCUCAGCCACUCCCUCACUCAUUCUUCCAUAUAUAAUUCCUUCUUGCUUCUUCUGGGUCAUCAAGAACACACAAAACAGAGAAAGAAAAUAGAGGAGGGAGAGCUUAAGAGAGGGAGGGCGCACCGGUGGGGCCUGGGAACGCUGCCGCCACGUCGUCGUCGAUUGAAAGUUGCCGCUAUUAACGGGACGAAUAGAAUGCGAAGAGGGGAGAGAAAUGUGUCCAAACAUGAACAAAGGGGGAGGAGAAACUUGCAGAGGAGAGAGAGACCGUGCUGCUAUUGUCAUCAUCGUCGUUGUCAAAGAGUGAAAGGAGACGCCACUGGAGCUGCUGCUGUUGUGGGUAUCGUCGGUUUUUAUUAUUGCUUCACUCCACCAUGACUGAACCGUAUCUCUCUCAAUCCAACAGAACUUGUGGCGCUGCUAUGAGGAUCACUGCUGAAGAAGACAAGCUACUGUUGCUACUCCGGUUCUGCAUCGGAGCUACUGUUACUGCCACUGCCGGAGGCGAUUAGCGUUGCUGUUGUUCCAAUCGAUGCUGCUGCCGCUGUCCCGAUUGCGCUGGGUGUUGCCGCUGCAGCGAAUUCAAAACAAAAGAGGGUUUAAUUUCGGAGUUCGACUAACUGAGCGACAGGUUCAGGAAACCCUUGACAAGGAGCCACGACCGGUCCAUAGAGUUUUAUAUAUGUAUUUCGUAUUUUCUGAAUUUUGGUUUAAUCUUAGAUCUUUAUUUCUUCCCUCGUCAUUUAUUGUUCAAGAGAUUUUAGAGGAAUAUGACUUGUAUUUGAGAAUCUUGAGAUAAGUCUAUGUAUAUAAUGUUUUAUAUAUA